rnacentral:rRNA from 1 species
AGCAGCCGCGGUAAUUCCAGCUCCAAUAGCGUAUAUUAAAGUUGUUGCAGUUAAAAAGCUCGUAGUUGAAUUUCGGGAUCAAUACGUCGGUCGUGCCUCUGGUAUGUACUGGUGUUAUUGAUUUCUCCCUUCUGGUGAACCAUGAUGUCAUUAAUUUGGUGUUGUGUGGAGUCAGGACUGUUACUUUGAAAAAUUAGAGUGUUUAAAGCAGGCUCACGCUUGAAUACAUUAGCAUGGAAUAAUGAAAUAGGACGUUCGAUCCUAUUUUGUUGGUUUCUAGGAUCAACGUAAUGAUUAAUAGGGAUAGUUGGGGGCAUUAGUAUUCAAUUGUCAGAGGUGAAAUUCUUGGAUUUAUUGAAGACUAACUACUGCGAAAGCAUUUGCCAAGGAUGUUUUCAUUAAUCAAGAACGAAAGUUAGGGGAUCGAAGACGAUCAGAUACCGUCGUAGUCUUAACCAUAAACUAUGCCGACUAGGGAUCGGAUGAUGUUAAUUUUAUAAUGA